rnacentral:lncRNA from 1 species
UUUGUAAAUACUCUCUUAUGUUCUUUACCACUGGUGUAUCUCAUACAAACAUUAAUAAGUGCUUCCAUAGAAACUCUCAGGCUCCUCCCCCCACCCGUUGCUCUUGGUCCUGCAUUUGUUUGAGUUCUGCACCUUGAAGCAGUCAUUAACAGAAAAAUUGAUGGAUUCAUAAAAUUGUAGUGGCUUCUUCUUAAUGGAACAUAUUUCAGUGAGACUGCCAUGGGAUAACAACAACAACAACAACAACAACAACAUACCCAGUAUUAUCCCACACCGUGGGGUCUGGGGAGGGUAGUGUGUACGCAGACCUUACCCCUACCUUAUGAGGAUAGAGACUGCCAUGGGAUGAGGGGAACCAAAUUGGCCUUGUCUAUUUGGUGGCAUGGCUCGUCAAAGGUACUUGUGGUGAUAUGUUUCUCCUUUUAGCUUUAUAAAUUAGCUGCCUUUAGUCACUUCAUAAACAAUGAGCUGUCUUUAGUAUUUUCUAUCUUCUAGUUGAAACAGGAGUAAUCAAGUGGUUUAGCUUGUGUGCUUGUUUCAUAUUCAAUUUUGAGUAGUUCAAUAGGAAUGGAUCAUAGAUAUCCAUCCUCAGGACAGAUCUUACUCUUUCCCUUUUCUCAUCCUUACUGAGUUAACUUUGCGAUGGAAAUUAUCAUAACUGCAUCAAAUUUGGGUAAUAUGAUUAUGUGCAUAGGAGUAUCAUUACUACCAUUAGCUUGCUUAUUGUUCUCUAGUCUCAUAUAUUCAGACAACUUAUUUACUGUCCAUGAACGAUAGUAGCAUAAAGUUUUACUGAGCUUAGAAGUGAUUCGCAUCAUGGAUAAUCCUAUAGAAUUCAAUGGUGGUGUUGUUGCCUUUAUAACAAUACAUUUUCUCCAUUGCAAGUAAUUAAAAAUAAAUUAGUUCUAUUUAUCAAAAACAAAAAUCAAUUUCUCCUAAGACUUAAUUGGAGGAGUUAUGUUAGUCAGGUAAAAGGAUAUUCUUCAGCUACCCGAGCGAUUCUAGGGCAUAUAUUUCUACGUAUAAAGAAAACUAGCUGUAAUUGUCCACAUAUAAUGGUCUUAACUCCCUAAAAGAAACAAAGGAGAUAAACAUAUCAGUCCCGUCUCUCCUGUCUUUAGAGGAAAAUUGAGGAUGAAGUUAGAUAUAUUAUGACAAACUUUUAUCUCUUAUGAGCUUCUGUUGGGUUCUAGGAAGUUACUGUCAUUAGAGUUUUAUUCCUUUUUAUAGGUCAAAUAAAUUUCUACUCUUCCAAUAUCCAUAUUGACGUCCAAAUGGUCUUUGCAUCACCACCCCUCAAACAGGAGGUUAUGGUAAGACUUCUUGGAGAAUCAUUUGAAAAGGUCAUCUUCCAUUCCUUCUUAUCGCCGUAACUCUGUAAAGCUUAUAUACCUGUGAGGAAAUCUUUCCACAUUGUCAAUUUUCAGUGUUAUAUACUUGUCUAAUUCUUUUUUGGUUGACAGUCUCAUUCCUUAUUAUGAAUCUCCAACUACGGCUUCCUUUGCAGUUGUGAUUCCAAAGAGACGAGAAAAUUCAGCUGUUAGAACGGUAUGACCAAGCCAACAUUGAAUACAGUUUUCAUUCCUAAAAGAGAUUCCUAUGAACCUCAUGAAAUCCUUUCUCUUCAUAAUCUUUUCCAUUAAGCU